ensembl:lncRNA
ACCAGCUAACAUUUGCUGCACGAUCUAUUCCACAGCUCCUCGAACAUUCCUGUACGAAGUACUUGGGCCCAGAGCCGGGCAGAGGAGGGUAGUUCUCUCCCAGCUAUGGUUGAGGAGCCCAGUCCUGAUACGGCAGCACCAUGUUCAGGACUGACACCCGCUGAUCCUCUGCCCCCAUGCCUCUCAAUUCUGGUUCCAAACCAGUUGCCCCAUGUCUAAACAGAGUUUUAAUAUUGCCCACCUGCUUGACUUUCUACCUGGCUUGGGUCUCAGGGUCUUUCCUGAACGAGUCUCUGAACUUGCCUUGGCCAAGUCCAGCCCCUUUUACAAGCUCAUCACCAGCUCCAGAGGAGGCCGCGCCAACUCCAGGCCACAAGGCUCCUGUGGUGUGGAAGAGAGAAUCCAACUCACUGAGUGCCUUCUUCCUUCCAGAGGACCAGCAAAUGACCCACAGGUCAUGAGGAAGAGAGAAUAUUCUCAGUCCAGGGCAGGCAAAGACGUGGUGGGAGCUGGUGAAGUCAGACAUUGUGCCUCGAGAAGACUCUCUCUAGGAGCUGUAGACGUGAGCCUAGAAUGCAUAGCUUGAUAAUCAAAGAUGGUGAGACAUUUCAGCAAAAGAGGCCAUGUGCUCAGGGGUCAAGAGUAUCGGACUGGAAUAAGCCUCAGAAGAGCCUGCCUCUGCCCCAUAUGGGCCACGUGACCACGGAGAACUCACUCUCCCUGGCGAGGCCUACUGAGGGCCUUGGUCCUUCUUCUCUGUGACAUGGAUAUGAACUCGUACUGAGCUCACAGAGCUGUUCAGGGAAUUAAAUGAGUCCAUGCCUCUGAAUGGCUGAGCACAAUGCCUGGCGCCGCAGAAGCCUUUGGUAGGUGUAGUUCAUGUGUUAUUUGCUUAUCAGACCAUUCACGAAAAACCAGGACUGCUGAGUACCAGCCACCUGCUCCAAUCAAGACCUUUCCCAGCUGGACCCAGGAAAGUAUCCAGUGAGUGGCAAAGCCAUUUCCGGCCUCCUAAGGGAACGAGGAGUCAACCAGAACCGAUUAACCCUGAGCUAACAUCUGCCACCAAUCCUCCUCUUUUUGCUGAGGAAGACUGGCCUUGAGCUAACGUCUGUGCCCAUCUUCCUCUACUUUAUAUGUGGGACACCUGCCACAGUAUGGCUUGCCAAGCGGUGUGUAUGGCCGCACCCAGGAUCCGAACCAGCAAACCCCGGGCUGCUGAAGCAGAACGUGUGAACUUAAUCACUGUGCCACUGGGCUGGCCCCAAUUUCACUUUUGAGGUCAAUCUUUUUAAAGAAUAAGCUGGAAAAGACCAAAAAUUAAGGCGAGGCUACAGCAGCUGUUGUGUAGCAACAGGACACAGUGUUUGCUUUCUCUAAACGAGAGCUCAGUCUUCUGAUGCCAGCUGACCCUGUGCUUGCUUCCUAAGUCUUGGAAGAACCUACAGCAGAAGAACUAAGGGGACAGACAGAAAGGAGGAACCAGCAAGGACACUAAGAGAGGAAGAAAAGCAAGAGUGGGGCAUUUGGGAAGCCAAGUGAAGAAGAUGCAUCCAGAAAAUGGGAAUAAUCAACUGCGCCAAAUCCUUUGGAGAAGAAUCAGUGAUGGGAACAUAGAAAUUUAAGCCUCUUCCCCCUAAAAAAAUUAAGACUAGGAAAAUAAAUGAUGCGCGAGAAAAGAAAUGCAAUUCUAGUAUGCUCUAGGGUUCAGCUCUAAAUAAUAUUUCCAAAGUCAUAGUAAUGUAACAGUGGACUAUUGAUCUAACCAAAAACUCUACGGAGCUCUCCUGGGAGGAUGGUGGCAAGGGAAGCACGAUGUGGCGGGAAGGAGCAGAGGGGUGUGUGUAACAGAGCAAUGUCGCCAUCCCCAGCAGAAAGUCACUGCGUAGUAGCUAGAGCUUAAAAUAAUAUCACCGGCCUUGGGGUGAGGAGAAUGGAAGGGUGACUUAGGGACAGCUUUCUUCCCGUAAUAAGCCUUAUGGAACUAUUUGCUUUCCAAAU